GAAGCGAAUUGAGACCCGUGUUGUGUCCUGUCCGAGGGGAACCCACUCUCCCCUCCUCCUUGUCGCCGACUCCCGGCCCGCAGGGCGACUCGGGCCAGCCCUGGCCGCGGCCUGCACUGCCACCGGCCCAGCCCGCGGCGUCGUGCCCCGCUCCGGGGCGGUUACGAAGCUCCGUAGGGGGACGGGAGGCCCUGACCGGCAGUAGUUCGGCGAGACCGGAGCCCUCCGCGGGGCCGGGACUGCAGGGUUUCCACAGGAAAUGAGAAAGAACCAGCCCCCGAUGACUGGGCGAAGGGAUGCAGUGAUGAUUUCCUCGUGUUCCUCGUCGAUGAGAGCUUUCCGAGUGAUCUCAGUUUGGGGGACCCAGGAGUGAGAGGAUUGCUGUUGUACUACAAUCAUGGUGCAAAAAUACCAGUCACCAGUGAAGGUGUAUAAACACCCCUUUGAAUUAGUUAUGGCUAGGGAAAAUUCUGCAAAGCAAUCAGUGUUGAAGACUAAAGGGAUGGCAGUGAAUCUUCCCACACGCUGUCGAGUGUUUUCACCGUUAAUGCCCACCAGGCUGCUCCAGAAGUGCAGAGUGGGUGGCUUCCCCAGCUGCCUCUCUGGAAUCCAGAGCUUGGGGACAGACUCCAGGAACAGCUCUGUGAGCUACUCCAGCUUUCCUGCAACACUUGCCCCUUCUGUGUUUUCCAGAUGGGAUGUGAACAUCUCAGGGCCCAGCAGGUGGGCUAAGCACCCUCUGCCUGAGGAUCGCUCCCUCAGGCUGCCACUUGAUGGGAAAUGUCCGAUGCACCCAGGAGGCCUGGGGGCUAACAAGGUGGGAUGCCUCCAGACUCAGACUCUAGCUCUGCCACCCUCCAGCCACGAGGCCUGGACCAGUCACUUAACCAAGACAAAGCCCCAGAUGGCAGUGACAUUUCCUGCAAGAUGAUGCAGAUUUAAUGUGUGUGUGAGUGUCCCUUGAUAGAGCUGCUGGCAGGAGCCAAGGCUGCCUAGUUCACCGUGGUGUCCCCAUGAUUGAAGUCAGGGCCUGGGUAUCCCAGGUGCUCAGUGUCAAUGGAAUAAAUGGAUAGUAAUAAUUGAAAAAUAAUAAGUGAAAAAGUCAUGAGUGAAAAAAAUGGGGUAAUAUUAAAAAAUAAUGGAUACAUGAACAGUAAACGAGUAUAAUUUAACAAACAUUUGGACAGAGCUUUGCCUGGGCCAGGCACUGUUCUCAGAAAUAUACAAUUAUUAAUUCAACAAAUGCUCAUAACUACCUUGUGGAGCUGGUGCCAUCAUUAUAAUCAUUUUACAGAUGGGGAAACUGAGGCACAGAGGCUAAGAGACUUGUUCAAGUUCCCACAGCCAAUAGGGGGUAGAGGCCAGGACUAGAACCAGGCUGCUGACCCUCUGCUCUACACCACCACAUCCCACUGCCCAGUGGGCAUUAACA